GAGUUUGAUCUUGGCUCAGGAUGAACGCUAGCGGCAGGCCUAACACAUGCAAGUCGAGGGGCAGCAUAAAGUAAACUUGUUUACUUGGUGGCGACCGGCGCACGGGUGCGUAACGCGUAUGCAACCUACCUUACACAUGGGGAUAGCCCGGAGAAAUUCGGAUUAAUACCCUAUAGUAUCAUUGGAUGGCAUCAUUUGAUGAUUAAAGCUAUGGCGGUGUAAGAUGGGCAUGCGUCCUAUUAGCUAGAUGGUGAGGUAACGGCUCACCAUGGCAACGAUAGGUAGGGGGCCUGAGAGGGUGGUCCCCCACACUGGUACUGAGACACGGACCAGACUCCUACGGGAGGCAGCAGUGAGGAAUAUUGGUCAAUGGGCGCAAGCCUGAACCAGCCAUGCCGCGUGAAGGAUGAAGGUUCUAUGGAUUGUAAACUUCUUUUAUUUGGGAAUAAACCUCUUACGUGUAGGAGCUGAAGGUACCAAAUGAAUAAGCACCGGCUAACUCCGUGCCAGC
rnacentral:rRNA from 2 species